rfam:Candidatus Riesia pediculicola TSDA, complete genome.
AAGGGCGUAAUUCAACUGGCAGAAUAUCGGUCUCCAAAACCGAAAGGUAAGAGUUCGAAUCUCUUCGCCCUUG